AGUAUGUUCUUCCAGGGCAGAAC
rnacentral:miRNA from 1 species